rnacentral:rRNA from 1 species
CCUACGGGGGGCUGCAGUGGGGAAUAUUGGACAAUGGGGGCAACCCUGAUCCAGCCAUGCCGCGUGUGUGAAGAAGGCCCUCGGGUUGUAAAGCACUUUCAGUGAGGAAGAACGCCUGGUGGUUAAUACCCAUCAGGAAAGACAUCACUCACAGAAGAAGCACCGGCUAACUCCGUGCCAGCAGCCGCGGUAAUACGGAGGGUGCGAGCGUUAAUCGGAAUUUCUGGGCGUAAAGCGCGCGUAGGUGGCUUGAUAAGCCGGUUGUGAAAGCCACGGGCUCAACCUGGGAACGGCAUCCGGAACUGUCAAGCUAGAGUGCAGGAGAGGAAGGUAGAAUUCCCGGUGUAGCGGUGAAAUGCGUAGAGAUCGGGAGGAAUACCAGUGGCGAAGGCGGCCUUCUGGACUGACACUGACACUGAGGUGCGAAAGCGUGGGUAGCAAACAGGAUUAGAUACCCCUGUAGUC